ensembl:lncRNA
AGACUAUAACACCUCAACGGUUGGGCGUAUUGAGACCAAACUUGGUGUGUGUUAUAACAAGCAUGACAAGAGACUUCCUGCAGUGUUUCGACGCAGCGCCACCUAGUGGUCAGGAGAUAUGAAAACUGCAUGUUUUUGCUUAUAACUUCUGAAUGGUUUGGCCAAAAAUCACAAAACUGGUCUCAUUAGAUUCGGUGGGUCAUGUCAAGUCGAAAGAUAUCCAAUUUUCCCGUGUCGGCCAUUUUAGGUGUCGGCCAUUUUGAAUUAUGUUUCAAAAUGCUGUAUUUUUUGAACGCAUUAUCGUAUCACUACGAAAAUAAUUACAAAAAUGUUUGGCUCCAUGCCCUGAAGCUACUCAAAAAGUUUGGCGGCAGCGCCACCUUGUGGUCAAAAGUUAUAAUGAAAUAUCUUAAAAAUGCUAAUAACUUUUGAAAAAAUUAGACUAUUGCAAUGAAAGUCAUGUCGCUAUAUUCUUUGGAUCAUGCCGAGAAAAUCGAUACCAAUUAUUCCAAAAUUGGCCAUACUUCCUGUCCGCCAUUUUUAUUAAAGUUGAAAACAUACUUUUUCGAACUCCUCCUAGACCGUAAGUCCGAUUUUCACCAAAUUUGGUUCGGAUCAUCUUCAGACCAAGCUGAUAAAAAGUUAUGGAUUUCGUGUCGAUAUACGAAACGGUUUUCGUUUAGCGCAUCAACAAAUUUGUUCGUAAGAUGCCAAAACACAUCUGAGGCUGUAUCUCAGCAAAGCUUUGACAUAUUUGCACCAAACUUUGUAUUUGCCAUUGUCACCUCACACUGACCACGCAACAUUAAUUUGGUAACAGCGCCACCUAUUGGUCAAGAAUAAUAAACCAUUCAUUAACCAUUAAUAAUUACAUUUAUAAAAAUGCUUAUAACUUUUUAUUGCAUUAGCCUAUUGCAAUGAAACUGGUCUCAAAAUAUUCCUUGGCUUAAGCCGACAACAUAGAUAUCAAAUAUGCCAGAGUACGCUGAACUUCCUGUCCGCCAUUUUGAUUUAUGUUGAAAACCUACUUUUUCAAACUCCUCAUCAACCGUUGGUCCAAUUUUCACCAAAAUCGAGACAGAUGAUCUUCAGACUGUGGUGACAAAAAGUUAUGGAUUUCAUGUUGAUAGACAAAACCGUUUUCGCAUACCACAGCGACAAAUUUCAGGCAUGAUGCCAAAAUGACACUUCAGCCUGUAUCUCUGCAAUGCUUUGGCAUACUGACACCAAACUUUGUGUGUGCCAUUGUCAAAUGACACAGAACACACCACAUCGAUUUGAUAACAGCGCCACCUAUUGGUCACACUUGAUAAGCCAAUAAAUCAUGCUACUAGAGGUUGUAUUUAUGAUUUUUCAGCCAUGUCAAUUACAAUCAUCCUAAAAUGGCUUCAAUUACUAAUUUCUGCAGUUGGUCUGAUGCUCCGUGCCAUGCUUAGCUCCUCAAUAUGCCUCUGGAGUGCUUGGCCCCGUAAUUGCUGCUUGCAGCUAUAUUUAUUAGGGGCCAAGCACCGAAGGUGCGUAGGCACCUAUUGUAUCUGUUGGCGUUAUUCUUCUUCUUCUUCUUCUUCUUCUUCUUCUUCUUCUUCUUCUUCUUCUUCUUCUUCUUCUUCUUCCGCCGCAAGUCUAUGGCAGCCCAUAGAACCGAUUGCGGGAAAGUUGUAUAAUUUGGCACACUGAUAGAGGACAGUCCCAGCAUUAACUAUAGCAAAUUUGAAGUCUCUAACUCCAACUCUCUAGCGCCACCACUUGUCCAAAAUUUCAAUAUUUUUAUGCUAAUAACUUUUGAACCGUAAGCCACAAAAUUAAAAUUCUUUUUUCCGCUGAAUCCUUGGCUCAUGCCAAGUCGAAUGAACCCCGAAAUUCAAAAAUCGCAAGGUUUAGUUUUUUCGCUAUUUUCAAUUGUUCGAAAAACCUACUUUUUCGAACUCGUCCUAGACGGUUAGUCCGAUUUUCACGAAAAUUGGCUCAGAUCAUCUUCAGACCAUGCUGGCAAAAAGUUAUGGAAUUCAAGUUGAUUCGUCCAAAAGUUCUCGAAUACCACGCGAAAAAAUUCUAAGAAAAGCACGCAAAAAU